CGGAACUCUUACUCUGCGACUGCGGAGAAUUGAAAGUGAAAGGAGUUCAUGGUGAAAUACAGUCUGUUUUUAGAGCAGCAGAUAAGAAAUAACUACUUUUACGAGAAGCAGCGAAGGAGUGUAUAAAGACAGCCUCUUCAAACAACAGCAACACGAUGUCAGUCUUUCAGCUGCUCCCAUCAAGGGGUCACCACAGUGGACCAUCAAGUUGUUGGCACAGAUGUUUACACUGGAUUCCCGUCCUGAUACAAGCUCCCAUUUUCUCCAGGCUUGAGACCAGUACUUCAUCCAGUGGCUAAGAAUUUAACCUGGGCCUUCCGCAUGGCAAACAAGAAACCUACCACUGAUCCACCAAUGCCAUCUAGAUCCUAAUGUAAUGUGAGAUAAUUAACUGCUGACUGGCACUUAACUAAAGCAUAAUGUGGGCAGGUGUAAAUGCGCAUUUGAAUGUUGACAGGAAGUCCCUACAUGAUCACAAAAAUGGAAAUAAAUACGAGGUGGUAUCAAAAAGUUUUGAGUUUUGUAACACAUC